GUCUACAGCCAUGCCACCCUGAACAAGCCUGAUCUUAUCUGAUCUCAGAAGCUAAGCAAGGCUGGGCCUGGUUAGUACUUGGCUGAGAGACCAUCUAGGAAGACCAGGUGCUAUAGGUG
rnacentral:rRNA from 1 species